rnacentral:rRNA from 1 species
GACGUAGGGCGCAAGCGUUGUCCGGAUUUAUUGGGCGUAAAGAGCUCGUAGGCGGCUCGUUGCGUCGGCUGUGAAAACCCGCAGCUCAACUGUGGGCUUGCAGCCGAUACGGGCGGGCUGGAGUUCGGUAGGGGAGACUGGAAUUCCUGGUGUAGCGGUGAAAUGCGCAGAUAUCAGGAGGAACACCGGUGGCGAAGGCGGCUCUCUGGGACGGUACUGACGCUGAGACGCGAAAGCGUGGGGAGCGAACAGG